rnacentral:rRNA from 1 species
UACGAAGGGGGCUAGCGUUGUUCGGAAUUACUGGGCGUAAAGGGCGCGUAGGCGGUGUGUCAAGUCAGGCGUGAAAGCCCCGGGCUCAACCUGGGAACCGCGCUUGAGACUGGCACGCUCGAGUUCGGGAGAGGAUGGUGGAAUUCCCAGUGUAGAGGUGAAAUUCGUAGAGAUCGGGAAGAACAUCAGUGGCGAAGGCGGCCUGCUGGGCUGUUGCUGACGCUGAGGCGCG